AUGGCCUUAGUUCGAAAGUAUGGCAAGCCGGACGUCUUCCUCACAAUGACAUGCAACCCAAACUGGGAUGAGAUUAAGCAGGAACUCUACCCCGGUCAAACACCUCAGGAUCGUCCAGAUCUCGUUGUUCGUGUUUUUAGGGCAAAGUUGGAGGAACUCAAGAAUAAGUUGCUUCAAAAGGACCUCCUGGGCAAGGUGAGGGCUUAUGUUUAUGUGGCGGAAUUCCAGAAGGGGGUCUGCCUCAUGCCCACUUCCUUCUCAUCAUGGAGGGGCGGUACUGUCACGCCCAAUAUGCGACCCUAUCCAAAAGGAACUCGAAGGUCCCACCACGGAUAG
rnacentral:rRNA from 1 species